GACGAACGCUGGCGGCGUGCUUAACACAUGCAAGUCGAACGGAAAGGCCCUGCUUUUGUGGGGUGCUCGAGUGGCGAACGGGUGAGUAACACGUGAGUAACCUGCCCUUGACUUUGGGAUAACUUCAGGAAACUGGGGCUAAUACCGGAUAGGAGCUCCUGCUGCAUGGUGGGGGUUGGAAAGUUUCGGCGGUUGGGGAUGGACUCGCGGCUUAUCAGCUUGUUGGUGGGGUAGUGGCUUACCAAGGCUUUGACGGGUAGCCGGCCUGAGAGGGUGACCGGCCACAUUGGGACUGAGAUACGGACCAGACUCCUACGGGAGGCAGCAGUGGGGAAUCUUGCACAAUGGGCGGAAGUCUGAUGCAGCAACGCCGCGUGCGGGAUGACGGCCUUCGGGUUGUAAACCGCUUUCGCCUGUGACGAAGCGUGAGUGACGGUAAUGGGUAAAGAAGCACCGGCUAACUACGUG
rnacentral:rRNA from 1 species